GACGAACGCUGGCGGUGUGCUUAACACACGCAAGUGGUGCGACGAACCAGAGCUUGCUCUGGGGCAAAGCCGCGAACGGGUGAGUAACACGUGGGUAAUCUACCCCGAUGACCGGGACAACCCGAGGAAACUCGGGCUAAUACCGGAUGUGGUGCUCAGACACAAGUCUGAUCACUAAAGGUAGCUUCGGCUUCCGCAUUGGGAGGGGCCCGCGGCCCAUUAGCUAGUUGGUGGGGUCAAGGCCCACCAAGGCGACGAUGGGUAGCUGGUCUGAGAGGACGAUCAGCCACACUGGGACUGAGACACGGCCCAGACUCCUACGGGAGGCAGCAGUGGGGAAUCUUGCGCAAUGCGCGAAAGCGUGACGAAGCAACACCGCGUGAGGGAAGACGGCCUUAGGGUUGUAAACCUCUUUCAGAUGGGACGGAGGUUCUCCGGUGAAUAGCCGAGGGGAUUGACGGUACCGUCAGAAGAAGCUCCGGCUAACUACGUGCCAGCAGCCGCGGUAAGAC
rnacentral:rRNA from 1 species